CCACAGCUACAACCGCGCGAGCCAAGUUCCCAAAGUGUAAUUUUUAAUUACCGCUUGUUCUCGGCGAGUCUGAGUGAAUAA
rfam:Lactobacillus kimchicus JCM 15530 Scaffold1, whole genome shotgun sequence.